AGCGAACGCUGGCGGCAGGCCUAAAACAUGCAAGUCGAACGGAUCCUUCGGGAUUAGUGGCGGACGGGUGAGUAACACGUGGGAACGUGCCUUUUGGUUCGGAACAACUCAGGGAAACUUGAGCUAAUACCGAAUGUGCCCCUUCGGGGGAAAAGAUUUAUCGCCAUUAGAGCGGCCCGCGUCUGAUUAGCUUGUGGUGAGGUAAAGGCUCACCAAGGCGACGAUCAGUAGCUGGUCUGAGAGGAUGAUCAGCCACACUGGGACUGAGACACGGCCCAGACUCCUACGGGAGGCAGCAGUUAGGAAUCUUGCGCAAUGGGGGAAACCCUGACGCAGCCAUGCCGCGUGAAUGAUUAAGGUCUUAGGAUUGUAAAAUUCUUUCAGCGGGGACGAUAAUGAC
rnacentral:rRNA from 1 species